UCCCUCUUAGCUCAGUUGGUAGAGCGCGUCACUAGUAUGGUCCAGCUCUAAUAGUAAUGACGAGGUCAGUCGUUCAAGUCGGCUAGAGGGAA